rnacentral:lncRNA from 1 species
GCAAAAUAGUAACUGAGAGCUCCCUCAAGGGAAAGCAAGGACACUGAAUGGGUCAGGCUCCAAUUUCAACCCCUUCUUAUGGAGCUCAUCUUACGUUUAUAGACCAACCCAAAUCCCAGCAUAUACUGAAAGACGUUUCAGAUGAGCUCUUCAUGACCUUAUUAAUAAACAAGAACUGAUUGCUCAUCAA